rnacentral:lncRNA from 1 species
AACAAUUCUACCCAGAGCAUCCUUGCAUAUACACGCUAUGGCUCCUUGCGGACAGGUGGGUCGCUGUUCAAAACUGAGAGAACAUACGGCUUCCUCUCUGAGCAGAUCUGGUGUUGCUCGUUGGUGUUGGUCCCCAGCCGCUUGACUUUGUAGCAGAAUUGAUUUUCCCCUGUUAUCUACUCCAACGACGUGGCUGUUGGAUGAUCGAGAAAUUUGUAAAGGAUCCUCUGAGGCGCUUUGAAGGUCACAGGCACCGAUACUCCUACUUCGUACUGGAGAUUUGAGCAGAUCAGACCGGUAUGUGUUCUGGUUUUGAUUAGGAAAGCUACCUCUUUGGCGUAUUGCUGCAACUCGAGGUCGUGGGUGUCGCUGAAAGGAAACAGAGAGUCCAUGAUCUUCUUCACUGGUCAGAUCUGGGUGUUCUUGCUGUGUUCGUCCA